GCUCACUGCAACCUCGGCCUCCUGGGCAGUCUAUUUCAAGGUGCAAACUCCGCCUCCUGGGCGGCCUAUUUCAAGGUGGAAGCCCCGCCUCCCAGGCAGCUUAUUUCAAGGUGGAAGCCCCGCCUUCUACGCCUAUUUCAAGGCGCAAGCCCCGCCUCCCGGGCGGCCUAUUACAAGGUGCAAGCUCCACCUCCCGGGCAGCCUAUUUCAAGGUGCAAGCUCCGCCUCCCAGGCGGCCUGUUUCAAGGUGCAAACUCCGCCUCCUAGGCCUAUUUAAAGGCGCAAGCCCUGCCUCCCGGGCGGCCUAUAUCAAGGUGCAAGCUCUGCCUCCCAGGCAGCCUAUUUCAAGGUGCAAGCCCCGCCUCCUAGCCCUAUUUCAAGGCGCAAGCCCCGCCUCCUGGGUAGCCUAUUUCAAGGUGCAAACUCCGCCUCCUAGGCCUAUUUAAAGGCGCAAGCCCCGCCUCCCGGGCGGCCUAUUUCAAGGUGCAAGCCCCGCCUCCUAGCCCUAUUUCAACGUGCAAGCCCCGCCUCCCAGGCAGCUUAUUUCAAGGUGCAAGCUCCGCCUCCCAGGCGGCCUAUAUCAAGGCGCAAGCCCCGCCUCCCGGACGGCCUAUAUCAAGGUGCAAGCCCCGCCUCCCGGGCGGCCUAUUACAAGGUGCAAGCUCCACCUCCCGGGCGGCCUAUUUCAAGGUGCAAGCUCCGCCUCCCAGGCGGCCUAUUUCAAGGUGCAAGCUCCGCCUCCCAGGCGGCCUAUUUCAAGGUGCAAGCCCCGCCUCCCAGGCGGCCUAUAUCAAGGCGCAAGCCCCGCCUCCCGGACGGCCUAUUUAAAGGCGCAAGCCCCGCCUCCCAGGCAGCCUAUUUCAAGGCGCAAGCCCCGCCUCCCGGACGGCCUAUUUCAAGGCGCAAGCCCCACCUCCAGGGCGGCCUAUUUCAAGGCGCAAGCUCCACCUCCCGGGCGGCCUAUUUCAAGGUGCAAGCCCCGCCUCCCGGGCGGCCUAUUUCAAGGUGCAAGCCCCGCCUCCCAGGCAGCCAGAGCAGCUUAUUUCAAGGGCACACAGCACACCUGAGGACGGCCCUAUUUCACAUAGACACACGCCUCCGCGGAGCGGCCUACAUAUCAAGGCGCAAGCCCCGCCUCCUGGACGCCCUACUUAAAGGCCAAAGCCCCGCCUCCAGGCAGCCUAUUUCAAGGUGCAAGCUCCACCUUCCG
ensembl:lincRNA